GACCCGACUUGGAGCCCACCAGCGUCAUCUCUGCACAGGCAAGGGCCUCCUCCCUCGUCCUGGCCCUUCCCUGCCCCCAGAAAGCCUGCGAGACCAUCCUGGUCAGGCCAUCUGUUUCCUGCCCCUUCGGGAAGGCCGUCCCGCCCAGGCCUUGGCAGCAGAAAUCCCGCAUCUCCUGUCCCCACGCCCCUCCGUGCCCGGGGUCCUGGCCCUGGGGUGGCUGGCUUAGUGCGACCACGGCCCGGCUGCCUGUUGGGCUCCCGCAGCCCCUCCGGCGGGGCCUCCGCCCUUUUGGCGUCCGGCUCCUGCCCCUGCCCUCCUGGCCCAUUGUCUUUCCCCAGAAGCAGGGUGUGGGGCGGUCCGGGAGCCCGGGACUAUUAGCACCGAUUCCUUUUCCUGCUGUGGAGCCAGUGACAGUGAUGUCCCACACCCUGCCCCCGUGCCCAGGGGCCACGAGCUUUCCCUGUCCGGGGGUCUCAGCCCGUACUCGGAGGAGGGGCCCCAUGCAGAGCUUCCCUGAGACGCAGGCCUCGUGCCCCCGGCCCGGAAGUGGCUCCUCUUGGGCAACAUUCUGAACAUCGGUUUGCAAGGACUUUCCCUUCAGGGGUGAAAAGCCCUCACCUGGGCUAAGCUCCAGACUCAGAGCCCCUCUCGGGGCAAAGCCAGGGAACCUCUCGGUGCUACCUGAAGGGUCUGCACGGACGCUGCCAGCCUCCGACCCGGCUCCUGCUCUCGACACAGCGGGCUUGGAUCUGUAAGCUGUGUGGUUCUGUUCUCCUCGGGAGGCCGCGUUCCUGCAUUCAUCCUGCAGACACCUACUGGGACGUGGACCUGCUCGGCCCGGGAACAGACAGGGGCAGUGCCCGAACCCGCAGUGCGCCUGGGCCCGCGGGCAUCCGGUCCCAGCCCAACAAACAACCAGCGCGGAAAUGGGGACACAGGUUGCUUGAGGCCGUGUCUGCUGGGCUGAGUGAAGGGAGCGCAGACGUGAACCAGGCCACGGUGGCCGGGGUGGGGGCGCGUGGCCACGGACUGGGUCAGCACAGGCCAACAGAGCUGCUUGUGAUGAUGGAUGUCGCACAUCCACGCUGUGACCCCAGAGCCCUGGAAACCGGCUUUCUAGUUUCCCUGAUUUGCAAUUCCCUUAAAUUUCACUAGGAUCGCGCGGCCAGCAGCUGUUGUGUUGGGCAGUGCCCUCCUAGGCAGGGAUGGCCACGUGCCUGUCCCCUGGGGCUGGAGGCCGCUCACGUGUCUGAGAAGCCAGAGGAGGACAGUCAGAGGCACAGCGGGCAGCGAGGUGCAAGAGGGUGGUUCUUUUUGACUCUAGAUGACGCGUUUCCGGUUGUUUUCAGCCCCGGGAACUGCGGGUCAGUUGUAGUAUGCAAUCCCGAGUGAGGACGAGAGUUGCCCAGCCGACCCUGGGCUUGCACCCUUGCUCCCCUUAGCAGAGGACGUCAGGGGGAAGCUGCGAAGGGACAGCUGCUCCUGAUGUCCCAGAAGGCAGGUGCAUUAGUGAGGCUCCCCAGAGAAACAAAUCACUAGGUUCCUGCGAAGCCCUUCCGCUCCAUCCAGACUUCCUGACUCAGCCCACCGAUCCCAGUGUUCGCCUCAUCCAGAAACAUCCUCACGGACACGCCCAGAGCGAUGCUUGACCCGAUGUCUGGGCCACCUAUGGCCAGUCAAGUUGACGCACAGAAUUACCCAUCAUAGCAGGUGCCUCGUUGUGCCCUAAACAUGCACAGGAUGCCGUGGGUGUUAGUCAAGGAGCCGUCUCUGUCCGCAGCCCCCGCGACCCAGGCCCUGGGUUUCAGCUCUGCAACUCCGCUUUGGCCGUGCCUGAUCCAGGAGAGACAACCAACCGGAGACACCACGUUCAGAGGCUACCUGGAGCCCUGUGGCCAGUGCAACCAGUGAGCCGGACAAUCAGAACUUCUCUCUGUCACGGGGCUGGGACUCAGGAACUUGAAGACUCAGUACCUGGCCUGUCUGUACCAUAGCCUCGUGUCUCCAGGGAGGAGGGUACCACUGACCAUCUCUGUUUGCCACAGAAUUAAGAGGAUGAGGACCGUUUUUGCCAGGGCUGUCUCCAGUAUUGGAAACUCCCGUGGUGUCUUGCAUGGAGAUGGACAAAAUGUAGGCACACAGAAAAUACUCCUGAAUGGACUGAAAGUUUCCACUGGAGAAGAAGAAAACUUCCUUCUCGAGAAGCCGACAGCCACCAGCCAGGGCAGAGCCUGCCUGCCAGCAGCCUGCAGGGCCCCCCCAUGCCUGAGGGCUUUCUAGACCCUGCAGCUCCUCUUUGGGGGCUGUCUUUCCCCCAGCCUCUGGGGUCCCCAUCACCCUCUGCAAAUCACGCUUUGUCUCCUACCACUUGUGACUCCACGUUCCCUCCCUCGGGUCCAUGCUCCACGGUCCCCAUGCCCGCGGGCCACCCUUCCCUCUGCCUAGUGAGCUCCUCACCAUCCUGCCAGGCUCCUGCGGAGACCUUCGGACUCACAUCAGCAGGGAGCAGGGGGAGGGUGUGGGCCCAGGAGAGGGAGGCGGUAGGAGUCACAACCACCCCUGAUGGCCCCUCACGUGAUGACUCUUGGGGGGUGCCGGUCUGCCCCCUCCCUGCCGGGCCCCCACACCAGAGAGACCACCUCUGCUCUCCCCCCGGGCUGGGCCCACCCAGAGUUCCAAGGCCCGGGACCUGCUCCUCACACGGCCUCUGGCUCUCUGCUCGGCCGCAGUUUUUCCAUGGCCCCGGCAGCGAGUCAUGCCAUGGGCGCGGAAAGCCUCCGUGACCUUCAAGUGAACGUUCACAUCUUAGCCAGAGACAUCCCAUUAUCUUCACAUACUUUUCAGGGGUUGCUUGCCCUGGUGCCUCCCUCGUGUCCUACUGGGCUGUCCUCGUUUUCUCCAUCUGUAAAACAGGCAAGUGCUGAUGCCCCCUGCCAGGCUCCAUGCAGGGCUCACUUCGAGGACUCACCCCGGGCUGGCCUCACGUACCUCGGGGUUAUCGCUUUCUGAGCUCUGACCUCACCAAUCAGAGGGCUGGAACCCACCACCUUCAAAUGGAAACGGACCUUGGGGUUUGGACACUCAGGGCCAGUGCAGUCGAGGGCCCCCCUAGGGUCACCCAGCUGCCGGGCAGAAGGACAGCACAGUCAAGCUUCCUGCUGGAGGCCGUUCGGUGAGAGCUGGGCUGCUCUCCCAGGCCACCGGGAGACUUUUGGGAGGGCAGCAUCCUGGUUGGAGACUUUUGGGAGGGCAGCAUCUGUUAGUGCAGACUCCGGUGGGGUCCGUCUGCGGGAUCCCUGUCCCUAUGGCCCUCCCUGUGGGCCUCCCUGUAAGCUCCGUACCCCUGGGCUUGCCCUGCAGCUGUACCCCAGUCUCUUCCAGCCGGAGGGAGCCAGGAGGGGCUGCCGUGGGCCCAUCUGAUGAUGAGCUGUAUGGAGGGCGGGCUUGGGGAGUCAAGUGGCAGGGUCCCCACACCCUUCCCACCCACCCUCCCUAUUUACUCACCCAUCACUUGUGCAUUCCAGCAGGCAUAAGGCGGACGGUCCUUGUCUCCCUGAAAUGAACAUCUCUGGUCGGCGUGACAAAUCUGGAGGCCAGACCAGACUGUCACUGCAGCUGGAUCCGUGUGUCCGCCUCCCUGUCCUGUCCAUGUCCCAGCCCCAUCACUGUACAUCCAGGGCCCCCCGACAGUGAAGUCUCGGUCCCCACCUGCCCCUCCGGCCAGCCUUAGCGUGUGGGGGUCGGGGCUAAAACAGAAGCCUGAACCCCGAGUCAGGGUCGUUUGUUUCCAUGCCUUCCUGGUGCAGCAGAGCACGAGUCCCACAGCAGAACCGUGUCUCUUUCUGCCUGUGGGUCCUCAGCAGCUGGUGCAGACGUCCUUUGAGGCAGGUGUGGACGAGUGAAUGAAUGAGUGUGUGAAUGAGUGAAUGAUCAUCAAGAGACCCGAGAUCCUUCUGGUCUCAAGUGGCCAGGAAAGCAUCAUCAAACAGCCCAACGUGAGAGCGGGUGGGAAGUUGUAGGAACCGUACAGAUUCAGUGGAAAUGUGAGUGUGAGGGAGCCGUGACCUGAAGGGAGACUCGGAACAGAGUCCUGGCUUCCUAAGACAGGAGGGUCAUUGUGGAGGCCCCGGAGCUGCCCCAUCCCAGGAGGAGGCAGAGCCCCUGAGCGAGCAGCCCGGAGCCAGGCCUUCGUGGAGAAGGAAGGUGCUCCGGGCCCCGAGACCCCAGUAGAGGUGCCCCGGGAAAGUGUCCCAUUCCCGCGUCCGCUGUCUCACUUGUGCCACCGUUCCUGCAUCUGGCAUCCACCCGUCACAGAGCCCAGGGCCCUCAAACGUCAGGAAAACCCGGCUGGAACUAUUUCUUGGUGUAUAUAUUUUUUGGAAAGUAUGUUCACAAUUGCCGCGCUUGGGGACACAAGCAGAGUGCUUCCUCGGGAGCUGAAGGUGAGAUGCACCUCCGCCACGAAGACGCAGCGAGG